UACCCCACCCGUGUCCCUGGAUUCCGAGGUGGGGGUAAUAAUCUCAGCCAUGGCUGAGGAUUCUGCGGAUGGGGAAGAUGAGGAGGAGGAGGAGCUUGCAGAGAGCACACAGCACUCCGUUCUCCCCAACAGCCAGGAGCUUUUUCUCACCCAGACAGAAUUACCAUCCCAGCCCUCCCAAGCCAGUAGCCCAGACAAUGAAACCAUGGAAGCGACCUCUGCCUCUCUACUCCAUCCCGAAGGCUAGCUCAGAUAAGGCGGAGGAAAAAGAAGAUGCGAGACGAAAUGUUCUUAGAAUUCAUGGAAGUAACCCACGAUGAAAGAGCUCAUCUGAAUGAGUGGAAGGACGUGGUAUCAAAUUACAGGAAAGAUGCCAGUGAACGUGAGGACAGGAGGGACGAAAGUGAUGAGAGAUGGUGGCAGGAAGAUCAGAGGAGGCAUGAUGCAACGCUGGGGCUGCUGCGUGAUCAAACUGACAUCCUCCGACGUCUGGUGGAGCUUCAGGAACAGCAGCAGGGUCACAGAGUGCUGCUGCAGCCCCUGUUUAACCACCCUCACCACUCACCAUGUUCCACAUCUUCCUCACUUAGACGUGUAAGAACGCGUGGGGGAAGGCUUCGUGCACCCGCCCACUCCACUCCCGUGGACAGCCCAACAAAAAGGCUGUCAUUACUUUGAAAUAUUUUUAGUGGCCUUUUCCUUCCCUCCUAUCCUCCUCCCAAACCACACCCGGGAUACCUUGUCAGUUCUCUCUCUCUUUUUAUAAUGACUUUUUAAUAAAGAAUACAUGAUUUUUAAAA